CCUACGGGUGGCAGCAGUGGGGAAUAUUGCGCAAUGGGCGCAAGCCUGACGCAGCAACGCCGCGUGAAGGAUGAAGGCUUUCGGGUUGUAAACUCCUUUUAUUAGGGACGAUACAAAUGAUGUUUCCCGAUGAAUAAGCCACUGCGUACUACGCGCCAGCAGCCGAGGUAAUACGGAGGGGGCAAGCGUUACCCGGAAUUACUGGGUGGAAAGGGCGUGUAGGGGGGAUAGCAAGUCAGACGUGAAAUUCCAUGGCUCAACCCUAGAACUGUGUUUGAAACUGUUCUUCUUGAGUAAGGGAGAGGUAGGCGGAAUUCCGGGUGUAGCGGUAAAAUGCGUAGAGAUAAAGAGGAAGACCAAUGGCGAAGGCGACCUGCUAGAAAAUAACUGACGCUGAGGCGCGAAAGCGUGGGGAGCAAACAGGAUUAGAUACCCUAGUAGUC
rnacentral:rRNA from 1 species